AGAAUAUGCAAUUCAAUUAGAAUUCCAAUUGGCCAUCAGUAUAUGCAACAACUCACCUGUAAAUUGGAUCGACUGCACAUAUCCUAUAAAGGGCAUACAUGCAGUAAACAAAUACUACAGUGCACUGACUAAUAUCAACACAAACGCACUUAACUAAACUAGCGGCACUACUCGAUGUUUGGGACGCGGAGUCUUCUCAGCUACUUCUUCUUGUACCACUGGAUGAUAUACUGCAAAGAAAAACAAAAAAUAUUAAGUAUCAACACUUUUAUUUACAUUUGCAUAAUUAACAUAACCUUGCAGUUAGCUUGCUUUCACACACAUCUCUGCCUUGUAGUGCACAUACUCUCUAGUACUUGGUAGUAAGCUGCUGCAAUUUGUAAAAACAAUGAAUUAAUUAAUAUUCAAUUUUUAAUGCUUUUAUUAGUAUUCUUAUUUGAAACUAUACUUUCCAGUUGCAAUUUUGCAAUUAAUGCACUUCACUUUUCGCACCAUAUGCUUAUACAACAUAUGUUUUGUCUUUGCAUAUCGAUAGACAUAUAAACGCAGUGAUGCACUAUCACUUUCACGAUCGCACUUGCGAUGUAUCUAAUAAAUUUUAACUAAAUUAAAUAUGCUAAAAUGAAAAGAAAAACCCAUUGAAAAUCAAAUAUUGAAAGGAAAACAACUAUUACUAUUAAUUAUAUUACUCUUAUACUACUAAUACUAUAUUUAGCUUAAACAACCUAUGGGGAAAAUGACUAGACUUUGUCUUGAAUUUUCUCUUUGAAUUGAAUGGCGGCAUUAUGGCAGCUAAUUGAUCUGCGCAUCUCAUAGAUGCAGCUGAAAAUGAAUUUAAUUAUAUUAACUCAUUAGUUUACAACUAGCAAUUUAAGCAUAUCAAUGUCAUCUACUUCUGAUCUGCUCUUUUAUACGUACACAUAUAUCACAAUGGUGCACUGCUAUCUUUUGUUGCGCUUGUGGCCAUUUAAACUAAUCAUAGUUUCGCAAAAUAUCGACCGAAUGUAUAUUCUUUAAAGAUAUCUUUUAGGCGCAAUUUUAAUUCUAAGAAAAUACUAUUGUCAAAGUAUUGUAUGAAUAAAGAGCAUCUCUAUUUUCUCUCUUCCUCUUCAUCUAGCUGAUUGACAGCUAAUAUGAAUGAGACUAAAGGGAAUAUGAGAUCAUUAAUGUGUGUUCUGUCAAGGCAUACAAACAGAAAAAAAUAUCCAGCUUCAACACGCAACACAAGCGAAAACCUUCGCAGAAUAGCAGCCCGACGCAGAUACGAGGCUCUUCGCAACGAUGCAGCUCGUCGCAACGACGCUCCACCAAAUGACGCUGCCACACACUCAUCCUCUUCAGAGGUGGCCCUCAACAUAGGCAACGCAGCUGCCUCACAGUCGCGCCUGCCAAUCUUCCAGCAACUGGCGCCGUUGCCACCCACUACAGGCACUUUGCGCACACACAACACAAAUCCAGACAACCCUCCGGCUGAGCAAAGCGGGUCGUCUCCAAGCAACUGAUUGCAGCAUAUACACUAAAAAAGAAUAUGCAAUUCAAUUAGAAUUCCAAUUGGCCAUCAGUAUAUGCAACAACUCACCUGUAAAUUGGAUCGACUGCACAUAUCCUAUAAAGGGUAUUCUAGCAAAUAAAACUCAAAUUGGAUAUUUA